rnacentral:lncRNA from 1 species
GUCAGGCCUCCUGCAGAGCUGGCCCAGGGCAGGACACAGUCUCCUGCCAUCACACCUCCCCCACCCAGGUGUUCUGGGCACCCAGACCUGCAGAAGGAAGAGUGAGUGGAGGGUGGAAGGAAGGCCUGGGAGGGCCGGUGGGGGCCACUGGUCAGGAGUCAGGCGAGCUUCCGUCCCCAUCCCUGGCUGAGGCCCAAAGGUAAACAGGUGUAUUUGGACUCCCGGCAGGGGACAGGGGGUUGGCCCCGCGGGGCAGGCCUGGGCCUGUCAGAGGUGGGGAUGUGGAGAGAAGCCUGCUUUCACAAUGGGUGGCAGAGUGGCCCCGGGUCCUGCUGACACAUUCUUGGAAGGUGAAGAGGAAAACACAGCAUCAAGGACAGGCACCAGCUUCCGAAGUACUGAAGGAAUGAAUGCACGAAGGAAAGAAUGAACGAACGAAGGAGCUGGCUGAGCAGAUGGACAAAAGGUGGUAUACA